GCUCAGGGUUUCAAGAGUCGAUGGAGUGUAUUCAGCUGUUAUAUUAUUUAUGACUCUCCGGAUGUCGACGAAAUGAUUGACAACACGUGAUGAUUACGGAGCCUCCACUGCUGUGUCCGUGAGCAGACUCUUGGAAAAGCCUGCAUUCGUGCAACAAUGAAUGAGCGGUGAGUGUUCACAGGGAGGCCUGGCGGGGUCAGGACAAUCGAUCAGAUCUGUGACUUCUGUUUAAGGUGAAGGGACAAAAUGCAAGGAGUGGUUCCAGGUCGAGGGAGCGUCAUUGAUGCAGCAGGGACACAAGACAAGACCAGAGUGCUGGGUAACAGGCGAGGCUUCGGCGAGGCUCUAGGAGACACAGGUUGGGCUCCCUGAGAGACAGGCCCUUGCAUGCAGGCUGCUGCUCGGGGAGGAGAGGCUGACUGGUGAGGGGCCACCUGGCCCUACAGGGACGUCCUGAACUGAGACCAGAGGGUGGAGCCUUUGCACCGUGCACAAGCCAGUCUGCACGGGGCUGCGUCCGGGGAAGGGGUGGCCCGCAGCUGAGGGCAGGUCCCCAGGAGGGACUUCUCUGAGCCAUCGGCAGCCUAUACUCCCAGCCACGGAGGGAAUGAGAGCCCUCGUUCUGAGGGGCGAAUCUGGGCAGCACGCCGUAAUGCCAACCACGGUCCACCUUGGUGCCCCUCAGACCCACCAGCCACAGGGGUCACCGUCGGAAGAGCGUCUCCAGGAUUCUGGCUGCUCCCUUUUGUGGAAAUUUACAAGAGGAAGGUUGAUGCAAUCUUGGGGCCACAGCAGCUGCUCACCCUGUCCCUCCACUUCCUGCCCCUCUGCCCUCAGCACUGUGGGUUCCCUCCACCGAGUAGCAUCUCUCCUGUUCUAGAUGAGCUACCUGGUGGACCGGCCCGGACUCUCAUCCUAGAGGCUUUAGAACCUCGGUCAACACACCCUUCUCAGGUCACGGCUGCUGUGCUUGUCCACACACCAUCAAAACUGGGCAGAGAGGCAGGCUCAGGCUUGCGAUGUCUCGAUGUGUCUCUCGGGAGCUUACCAGAUGGGCCUCGGCCCCUCCACCGUGUGAGGGCUCCAGCUGACUCUCCUGGUGCUGCAGUCUCCAGGGACAUAGCCUGCGCGCCUGAGUGAGGAGGGGACAGUUCGGCUUGUACCGGUCUCCUAGGGCUGCCAGAGCAAAUGACCACCAGCUAAGCGACUGAAAACAACACAAGCUAUUCCCUCACAGUGCUGGAGCUCAGAAGACCAAAUGCAGGUUCACCAAAGGGCUAGAGUCAAGGUGUGGGCAGGGAGGCAUUCCUUCCAGAGGCUCCGGGGAAGAGCCUGCUUCCUUGCCUUUCCUGCUUCCGGCAGCUGCCCACUGUGGGUGGCUGGUGGCCCCUGCCUCCAUCUGGAAAGCUCCAGCCUCUCUCUUCUCACUUCAAUUCCUCCCAGACCCUGCUCUCGAGGACCUGCUCAGAUCACCCAGCGCCAUCACCCCAUCUCAGGGCCUUUAACUUAAUCACACCUGCAAGCUCCCUUUUGCCACAUGCAGUAACGAUCACAGGUUCGGGGAGGGGGCCAUGACUCGGCACCAUGAUAUUUCAUGACAUCUAGCAAAAGUUCCCACUUUACCCCCAUGAAAGAGAGGGGUCCUCCUUCCUGCUCCCUCCCUCCCUCAAUUUGGCCAUUUCUAGAGUUUAGGGUCUACCCCUAGCAACACCCCACUUCCUAGGGCUGAAUCCCGCAUGAGUUAGGAUGCUGGCAGGUGCAGGAAAGAGGAAAGAAAAUCUGGCUCGGGUGGGUUUACACUGAAAAGGGAAGUCCUUGGUCUGUGCAGAGGAACAAGCCCAGAGGUGAAUGGAAGUUUGGAGAAGGACUGAACAGCCAGACCAUGAGCCCUGGAGGUCACAGGAUGCCUCUGUAGGCCCACUUGGACGAUGUGCCUACCCCUGAGCCAAUCACUGUGGCCGGGGAACACCACCAUUGGCAUGGUCUACCCCAAAGGGGCGAUGGGAGUCUGUCCUUCCAAAUGUUGUGACUGCUUCCCAACAAGGGAGGCGUGGCGUGGAUGCUGGGGAGGAACCCCAAAGUCUACCGUGCCACCCAAGCGAGGACCUACGUUGACAGACUGAUUUGAUCACCUAAAGAUGUUGACUUAUUUGUCAACAUUUUUCAAUUGGACAAAAUGUAUGUACCAUGCUUGACACAGUGUUAAUACAUGGAAAUCUUAUAAAUACGCAAGUAAAAGACCCCAACAGUGAUGAGGGAACUUGGGCCAAGCUGAGGGCAAAAUACAGGCUAACAGAACCCCCCCCCCAGCUCAGGUGGCAUCUGUGUGAUAUUCCUCGGACACUCCUGGCCGCCCAACAACCAAGGACAGGGGUUAAGUGCUUGCCACGGAGAUGUGGGAAGCUAAGGCAAACGAGACAUUAAAACUGUCUUACUGCCUGCAGCCCACUGACAAGUCCUUGAAACUGGCAAAGUGACCUCCCUCUAGGAGCUCAGCUGCCCCGAUGACGACACUUGGCUGGGGGCGAAAGGGAAUCUUGGCUUAUCAUUAUCCCAACCUCGAGGACCCUGUAAGUCUACUUUAACAAAUAAAAAUUCCUUUGGAGGGGCGCAUGGGUGGCUC